rnacentral:rRNA from 1 species
GACGAACGCUGGCGGCGUGCUUAACACAUGCAAGUCGAACGGAAAGGCCUCUUUCGGGGGGUACUCGAGUGGCGAACGGGUGAGUAACACGUGAGUAACCUGCCCUUGACUUUGGGAUAACUUCAGGAAACUGGGGCUAAUACCGGAUAGGAGCUCCUGCUGCAUGGUGGGGGUUGGAAAGUUUCGGCGGUUGGGGAUGGACUCGCGGCUUAUCAGCUUGUUGGUGGGGUAGUGGCUUACCAAGGCUUUGACGGGUAGCCGGCCUGAGAGGGUGACCGGCCACAUUGGGACUGAGAUACGGCCCAGACUCCUACGGGAGGCAGCAGUGGGGAAUAUUGCACAAUGGGUGGAAGCCUGUUGCAGCAACGCCGUGUGCGGGAUGACGGCCUUCGGGUUGUAAACCGCUUUCGCUCAUGACGAGGCUUUGUGUGACGGUAGUGGGUAAAGAAGCACCGGCUAACUACGUG